rnacentral:rRNA from 1 species
CCUACGUGAGGCAGCAGUGGGGAAUAUUGCACAAUGGGGGAAACCCUGAUGCAGCGACGCCGCGUGAGUGAAGAAGUAUUUCUGUAUGUACAGCUCUGUCAGCAGGGAAGAAACUGACGGUACCUGACCAAUACGCCCCGGCUAACUACGUACCAGCAGCCGCGGGACUACGUAGGGGGCAAGCGUUGUCCGGCAGUACUGGGUGUAAGGGGCGCGCAGGAGGGAAGCCAAGUCAGCUGUCAAAACGACGGGCUUAACUUGUAGACUGCAGUUGAAACUGGUUUUCUUGAGUGAAGUAGAGGUGGGCGGAAUUCCGAGUGUAGCGGUGAAAUGCGUAGAUAUUCGGAGGAACACCGGUGGCGAAGGCGGCCAACUGGGCUUUAACUGACGCUGAGGCUCGAAAGUGUGGGGAGUAAACAGGAUUAGAUACCCGUGUAGUC